rnacentral:rRNA from 1 species
AUACGUAGGGGGCGAGCGUUGUCCGGAAUUACUGGGCGUAAAGGGCGUGUAGGCGGCCUGUCAAGUCAGGGGUGAAAGCCCGGGGCUCAACUCCGGGUGUGCCUUUGAGACUGAUGGGCUUGAGUGCUCCAGAGGGCAGUGGAAUUCCCGGUGUAGCGGUGAAAUGCGUAGAGAUCGGGAGGAACACCAGUGGCGAAAGCGGCUGCCUGGGGAGCGACUGACGCUGAGGCGCGCAAGCUGGGGGAGCAAACAGGAUUAGAUACCCUGGUAGUCCCAGCCGUAAACGAUGAGUGCUAGGUGUGAGGGGUAUCGACCCCCCUCGUGCCGUAGCUAACGCAAUAAGCACUCCGCCUGGGGAGUACGGCCGCAAGGUUGAA